AGCAGUAGGGAAUCUUCCGCAAUGGACGAAAGUCUGACGGAGCAACGCCGCGUGAGUGAUGAAGGUUUUCGGAUCGUAAAACUCUGUUAUUAGGGAAGAACAAAUGUGUAAGUAACUGUGCACAUCUUGACGGUACCUAAUCAGAAAGCCACGGCUAACUACGUGCCAGCAGCCGCGGUAAUACGUAGGUGGCAAGCGUUAAUCGGAAUUACUGGGCGUAAAGCGUGCGCAGGCGGUUUUGUAAGUCUGAUGUGAAAUCCCCGGGCUCAACCUGGGAAUUGCAUUGGAGACUGCAAGGCUAGAAUCUGGCAGAGGGGGGUAGAAUUCCACGUGUAGCAGUGAAAUGCGUAGAUAUGUGGAGGAACACCGAUGGCGAAGGCAGCCCCCUGGGUCAAGAUUGACGCUCAUGCACGAAAGCGUGGGGAGCAAACAGGAUUAGAUACCCGGGUAG
rnacentral:rRNA from 1 species